rnacentral:rRNA from 1 species
GGGGUAGCAAUACCCGCUGGCGACCGGCAAACGGGUGCGGAACACGUACGCAACCUUCCUUUAACUGGAGAAUAGCCCCUCGAAAGAGGGAUUAAUACUCCGUAACAUAUACAUGUGGCAUCACAAGUAUAUUAUAGCUCCGGCGGUUAAAGAUGGGCGUGCGCCUGAUUAGAUAGUUGGCGGGGUAACGGCCCACCAAGUCUGCGAUCAGUAACUGGUGUGAGAGCACGACCAGUCACACGGGCACUGAGACACGGGCCCGACUCCUACGGGAGGCAGCAGUAAGGAAUAUUGGUCAAUGGACGCAAGUCUGAACCAGCCAUGCCGCGUGGAGGAUUAAGGCCCUCUGGGUUGUAAACUCCUUUUAUCUGGGAAGAAAUCCGGGAAUUCUUUUCCGGUUGACGGUACCAGAGGAAUAAGCACCGGCUAACUCCGUGCCAGCAGCCGCGGUAAUACGGAGGGUGCAAGCGUUAUCCGGAUUCACUGGGUUUAAAGGGUGCGUAGGCGGGCAGGUAAGUCCGUGGUGAAAUCUCUGAGCUUAACUCAGAAACUGCCAUGGAAACUAUUUGUCUUGAAUAUUGUGGAGGUGAGCGGAAUAUGUCAUGUAGCGGUGAAAUGCUUAGAUAUGACAUAGAACACCAAUUGCGAAGGCAGCUCACUACACAGUUAUUGACGCUGAGGCACGAAAGCGUGGGGAUCAAACAGGAUUAGAUACCCUGGUAGUCCACGCCCUAAACGAUGAUUACUCGACAUCAGCGAUACACUGUUGGUGUCUGAGCGAAAGCAUUAAGUAAUCCACCUGGGAAGUACGAUCGCAAGAUUGAAACUC